rnacentral:lncRNA from 1 species
CCUAUUCUUGUAAACUUGACUGCACAAUUCUAUAGGGUUUUUAGAUGUAAUAGUUCCUGAAUUUGUAUCCGAUUUGCAUUUUGGUCCUUGAAUUUACAAAAUGACUUACUCAACUCUGCUUCCAUUACCAUGGUUGGUCAUCGUGUUACAUUUCUAUCAAAUUUAAGGGCAAAAUUGUAUCUUAAUGUUCUUUCUAAUGGAAAACACCAAUAACAUCACCCUUUUCUUAUCAACUUUGACCCUAGAUGUGUU